rnacentral:piRNA from 1 species
UAACUGUGGUGGGAACUGCCUUUGUCUC